UGGAAUCGUAUACUUUCUUCGCGACUACCUCUUAUCCAGUUAUUGGACCUCAUCUCUUGGGCCUUGUGGCUGGCCCAGAACAAGUACAAUAAAUGUUGCAAGAAUCUGCGGCACAAAAGAUAACAGAUUAAGGGAGCCACUUAAAAAAACAUAGAAGAAACGUUUUUAAAAAUAUAUUCCUGAAAUUUGUCAAAACUCCAAUCAUUAAACAUUCUUUUGAAUAAUCAUUCAAUCUCUAUUCAACCAACAGAGAACCAGAGACAGAGAAUAUUAUCUUUACAGUGAUGGACAAUAGAAAAAGUAAAAUGAGAAACGGCCAAGAAUAUAAAAAUAGUCAAAAUAGUAUAAGUUCAUAAUAUUACAUACCAUCCAUGCUAUGCUGUUCCAUUGUGAAGUUCUUGCAACCCAAUUAAAGAAGUAAUGCAAACAGACUAACCAAAAUGGAGGCAACUAAAACAAGGUGUCUAUUAUUCUAAUCUUUUGAUAGAAGUAGCUUGACCUUUUAUAGUUGAAUAACUAAACAUGAACUAAGUGCAAC
rnacentral:lncRNA from 1 species